rnacentral:rRNA from 1 species
AUUAGAUGAGCCUAUAUUAGAUUAGCUAGUUGGUGGGGUAAUAGCCUACCAAGGUAAUGAUCUAUAGCUGAUCUGAGAGGAUGAUCAGCCACACUGGAACUGAGAUACGGUCCAGACUCCUACGGGAGGCAGCAGUGGGGAAUAUUGGACAAUGGGCGAAAGCCUGAUCCAGCCAUGCCGCAUGAGCGAAGAAGGCCUUUGGGUUGUAAAGCUCUUUUAGUGAGGAAGAUAAUGACGGUACUCACAGAAGAAGUCCUGGCUAACUCCGUGCCAGCAGCCGCGGUAAUACGGAGAGGGCUAGCGUUAUUCGGAAUUAUUGGGCGUAAAGGGCGCGUAGGCUGGUUAAUAAGUUAAAAGUGAAAUCCCGAGGCUUAACCUUGGAAUUGCUUUUAAAACUAUUAAUCUAGAGAUUGAAAGAGGAUAGAGGAAUUCCUGAUGUAGAGGUAAAAUUCGUAAAUAUUAGGAGGAACACCAGUGGCGAAGGCGUCUAUCUGGUUCAAAUCUGACGCUGAAGCGCGAAGGCGUGGGGAGCAAACAGGAUUAGAUACCCUGGUAGUCCACGCUGUAAACGAUGAAUGUUAAAUAUGGGGAG